AUUGAACGCUGGCGGCAGGCCUAACACAUGCAAGUCGAGCGGAGCGGCGGACGGGUGAGUAAUGCCUAGGAAUCUGCCUGGCAGUGGGGGAUAACGUCCGGAAACGGGCGCUAAUACCGCAUACUAUCAGAUGAGCCUAGGUCGGAUUAGCUAGUUGGUGGGGUAAUGGCUUACCAAGGCGACGAUCCGUAACUGGUCUGAGAGGAUGAUCAGUCAAACUGGAACUGGGAAACGGUCCAGAUUCCUACGGGAGGCAGAAGUGGGGAAUAUUGGACAAGGGGCGAAAUCCGGAUCCGGCAAGGCCGCGGGUGUGAGAAAGGUCUUCGGAUUGUAAAGCACGUUAAGUUGGGAGGCGUUACCAACAGAGUAAGCACCGACUAACUUCGUGCCAGCAGCCGCGGUAAUUC
rnacentral:rRNA from 1 species